rnacentral:rRNA from 1 species
CGCGUAGGCGGCUUUUCAAGUCGGGCGUGAAAUCUCCAGGCUUAACCUGGAAGGGUCGUUCGAUACUGUUAAGCUAGAGUGUGGAAGAGGCUACUGGAAUUCCGUGUGUAGCGGUGAAAUGCGUAGAUAUACGGAGGAACACCUGCGGCGAAGGCGGAUAGCUGGGCCAACACUGACGCUGAUGCGCGAAAGCUAGGGAGCAAACG